UACAGAGGGUGCAAGCGUUAAUCGGAAUUACUGGGCGUAAAGCGCGCGUAGGUGGUUAUGUAAGUCAGAUGUGAAAGCCCUGGGCUCAACCUGGGAACUGCAUUUGAAACUGUGUGACUAGAGUAUAGGAGAGGGAAGUGGAAUUUCAGGUGUAGCGGUGAAAUGCGUAGAUAUCUGAAGGAACACCAGUGGCGAAGGCGACUUCCUGGACUAAUACUGACACUGAGGUGCGAAAGCGUGGGUAGCGAACAGG
rnacentral:rRNA from 1 species